rnacentral:rRNA from 1 species
GUGCCUACGGGGCGCAGCAGUGGGGGAUAUUGCACAAUGGGGGGAACCCUGAUGCAGCGACGCCGCGUGGGUGAAGGAGCGUUUCGGCGCGUAAAGCCCUAUCGGCAGGGAAGAAGGAGGACGGUACCUGACUAAGAAGCCCCGGCUAACUACGUGCCAGCAGCCGCGGGAAUACGUAGGGGGCAAGCGUUAUCCGGAUUCACUGGGUGUAAAGGGGGCGCAGACGGCAGCGCAAGCCAGGAGUGAAAGCCCGGGGCCCAACCCCGGGACUGCCCUUUGAAAUG